CCUACGGACGCACCAGUGGGGAAUAUUGCACAAUGGGCGCAAGCCUGAUGCAGCCAUGCCGCGUGUGUGAAGAAGGCCUUCGGGUUGUAAAGCACUUUCAGCGGGGAGGAAGGCGGUGAGGUUAAUAACCUCAUCGAUCGACGUUACCCGCAGGAGAAGCACCGGCUAACUCCGUGCCAGCAGCCGCGGUAAUACGGAGGGUGCAAGCGUUAAUCGGAAUUACUGGGCGUAAAGCGCACGCAGGCGGUCUGUCAAGUCAGAUGUGAAGUCCCCGGGCUCAACCUGGGAACUGCAUUCGAAACUGGCAGGCUAGAGUCUUGUAGAGGGGGGUAGAAUUCCAGGUGUAGCGGUGAAAUGCGUAGAGAUCUGGAGGAAUACCGGUGGCGAAGGCGGCCCCCUGGACAAAGACUGACGCUCAGGUGCGAAAGCGUGGGGAGCAAACAGGAUUAGAUACCCUUGUAGUC
rnacentral:rRNA from 1 species